ACCACAUUCACGGAGCGCUGAUGGGAUGACUGAGAGGGGAAAACAGAGCACCUCCGAGGAAACCCAUUGGUGAUCCGUGGUCCUUUCUCAGUAAGGUGGUAGCAGUACAUUGCAAUCACCUGCCUUUCACCAUCUGGCUGUCAAUCUUGGUAGAUUCAGACCCACGUUUUUCAUAAAUGGGAGAUUUGGAAGAUGCAGCCAUAGACCAGCAAGUCCACCCUUUUGCUAUUCACGUAUAGUUUAUUGUCAAUUAAAGGGAUGACAUCUAUCACUUCAGGAGAUGUUACCCACACCCUCAUUAAAUAAUUCAUUAAUAUACCUCAUAAGGCUUGAUCACUAAUGCAUGGCUAUCAUGAAUUCAGAUAGUAUAUUUAAUUACUGACGCAUAGUCUGUGACGUUUUUAGUCAAUUAUUACAGGUUACAAACCGAGUACCAAAACCUUCUCAUGAAUUUAAGCCUCUUUUAACCAUUUUUAAAUUUGCUGUUUAUUGUUGUGGUGAUACAAAGCAAAAUUAUAUACAUACUUUAUUUGUUUCUUAACUAAAGUAGGCUAUGAUAAUUAGGUUAAGUAAACUUUGCCCUUUAAAGAUUUAGAUGUAAUUUAUUAAUGUACUGCUUUCCCGGGUAUCUAAUAAUUCUUAAUCAAUACAUAUUCCCACACACAUUCAACACCAUUUCUUACCCCAGAUUUCAAAAAUCCACACAAUGUUGAUUGUUAAUCUAAAUUAUUGGUAUUGAUUUUAAACUAAAUUAGGAACAGUAAAGGUUCUUACAUUUUGUCCUUGAUUUUGGCGAGCUUUGCUGUCUGACUUGUCUUCGUUAUCAUCGUCUGUCAGGAACUCUCUCUUGGGGUAAGGGAUCUGGCAACCUGCAAAAACACUGUGCAAUGCGCAAGUUAACGAAGCGUUCUCCCAAAUCCAGCUACGCCACUACCACGGGCGAGUGGGGGAACCAACAUUUUAAGUGCCAAAAAAUUGUGUAUACAAAAGUACACAUUUACAGAAAUCUUGUAAUAACAAACUAAACAAAUACUUAAUCCACGUAUUCGUCUCAUGAGUGAACACUAGACAUGGCCGAUAUAAUAGUUUUGACUUUUUUGUUCAUGGCCCGUAGGCAAUUCAUAAGAACUGUAAAACCUUACUGUCUUUAGGAAUCCACACCUUUUGAUUUUCUCGAGGAAACAUAGCAGCAUCUCUGGAGAUGGUCUGCAGCUACAUUGUCUGCCUUUGUCCCCCUCCUGCUAGCACACACUGCUUCCCUCCACCCCCACUCGAUGUUAUUACCCUUACUUCCCCUCUUUUGCUUGGAUGCCUGGAGGAAGUGAAGAGCGCUCUCCAUUCCCUUGCUGCGUAUAAGUCUCAUGGCCUAGACCUGAGACCAAUUUAUAUUUAAAACAAUUCAUGUCGUGUAUUGAGAAUCGAGAAGACGUUUGCUGAAAUUAGUUGUUAAAUACACUGUUUUAACAACAGAUUAAUUUGUAAUACACGUGCGUUCAUUGCUUGCAUAAGGGAAGCCAAGCAAUGGUUUGGUUCCUCAGCCUGGCCUCGCUGGUAUUGGGUACAAGUGGAAAUCGCAAAGAUAGAGCCUAUCUCUUAGCUUCAGCGUAAGAAACGGAAUACAGACAAUGGAUCACAUCAUUAAAGAGCAGUGUGAAGUACGUUGUAUCAAGAAUUCAGUGUGUUUGUUUUGAAAAUUUUAAAUGUCACUGAAAUAACAUAUUUCAAUAACAGAUUUAGAAUCUGAAAAAGUAGGGGAACUGACCAUUUCCUUAGUUCCAUUAAAUAUCCUCCAAUUUUUUAGUUAAUUAUGACCAGGAAUAUAAGUGCCCUUGGCCACUGCGCCCUGAUACUCACUCCGGCGUAGGCAGUGGCUCUUCCUGGAAAUAUGCGUCUUGUAUUGCCUGCUCCGACGUGAUUCUCUUGGUGGGAUCCAUCAACAACAGCUUCUGCAACUAUCGCCCACAACACUGAUGCACUUAACGCUUGCAACAGCAACAUUACGUGUACUUGAUCUCCCUCAGCUUUGCAAGGAUUCAUCACUGUAUAGAAUAUCAUAUGCACUGUUAUAACAUCUACAUAGUUACAGAGAACAAAAACCAUAAUUGGCACAUAAAAAUUUUGAUUUAGAUGACAAAAAUAACUGUAACUGGAACACUUCUCCUUCUUUAGCAGCAGAUUCAGCAGGAAUGAGACGCUCAACCUUUAUUUUCCUUGUCAUAAAUUACUAGAAAAUACUAGGGUUGCCUGAAAAGUUACCAACCUUGACAUGAAGAUGGCAGCACUUGUCAAUAAAAACUGGGGAAUGUGUUUGCUCGAUCUUUGGAAUAUACUCUCUGAAAUUUCAGCCAAUUUCAGCUCACUCGCCACUGAUCAGGAUAACAUUUUGCACGCUAAUAAAAUGGGCAAACACAAACUCUGGUUAGUUUAUUUUAAAAUUUUUCCCGGUGUUCCUUUCUCUAGCCGAAUGCCAGCCAGUCACAUCACUUGCCGAGUACCUGCCAGGCCGAUGGGUAGGUGGUAGACGUAGCGCAAGAGCCUAACAAACCUGGAGAUGUGAAGCAGCAGUCAGGGCAUCCCCAUCUGGUUUAAAGUAUGAUGAAUUUUACAGCUGAGAGGGUAGGAGAUACGAAGGGUCAAAGGGUUGAACCAAACAGCUUCCUGACCCGUUAUAGGGUAGAAUGGCCGGAGUGCUUCAGAAUAUGAAAAACAUAUACGUAGUUUAAUAUAAAUACAGAUAACUCGAAAACUGGAAAAUCUAGGCCCAGAUAAUUGAAAGUUUAUUAUAAAAACACUGUUGUUUUUUUUUUAUUAAUGACAAGGAAUAUAAGUACUGAGCUGUUCAUCCCCGCGGACUGUUCCUAAAGAAGAAAUACCAUGAAUGUUAUAGUUACAUAAGUUAUUGGAAAUAGUAUUAGUAUGUGCCAAAUAUUGUUUUCAUUGUCUCUGAUCAGUAGUUAUAAUUAUGCACCAAUGGUUAUAAUAUAUUCCGGACACUACUGAACCGUACAGACAAUUUUAUAACCAUAUGUCUAGAAAUAAAAAAGAGGAGCCACUUAACGCAACUCACCAGGUGGAAGGCUUUGCUGUCCUGCUUGAUCUUGUGCCUGUCCAUGUACUUGAGCAAGGAGCAGUUGGAGUAACUGCAACACACACCACUUCCCCUUCACGACCCGCUCCAACAGCACACGCCCCACCGCCAGUAGCCCGACAAGACUGCCACUCACUUGCCCCUCUUGAAGUCCUUGAGCAGCGUGGGGUGCUCCGGCAUCUUCUUGAUGUCCUCCCACUCCUUCUCCUGCGGGAAGCCCAUCACGUUGAAUAUCCUGUCCAGCUGGUCGUGGUGGUACGGGUUGCUGGUCUUGAUGUCCUCCUGCCGGCAGUGGAAGAUGGGCUCCGAGGUGAGCAGCUCCGCGAAGAUGCAGCCUAUGGCCCAGAUGUCUGCGGACAGGAGACGAGCCGGCACUGCACCUCGUCCUCGUCUCCCGCCCUCGUCCUCGUCCUCGUCUGCCGCCCGACUCACCGAUGGCCUUGGUGUAGUGCCGCGCCCCCAGCAGCAGCUCCGGGGCUCGGUACCAGAAGGUGACCACCACGGGGUCCAGGUCGGCCAGGGGCUUGAGGGGCGCGUUGAAGAGCCGCGCGAAGCCCAUGUCCGCGAUCUUCACGCGCCCGCGCUCCGGGCCCUCCCCCAUCACCAGGAUGUUGGCCGGUUUCUGGACACGGAACAGACUCUGGCAACCACUACUUGGCAAGCUCUCUCCACAACAGUUCUAGAUUUGUAGCCUCUUCAGUCCUCUGCUUACUUAGGAGCAUAUGCAGAUCUCGGUGCAGGACCCAGUUGGAGUGGAGGUAGUGUAUUCCGUCGAGGAUCUGGAACAGCAGGGACUUCACCAUCCCCUUGGGCACCAUCACCGGCUUCUUGUUGGCCUUCGCAGCCCGGUGGAACUUGAUUAUGUGCUGUUCAAAAAUCACAGAAAUACAUUGAAUGAUACCAA